AGUGAACGCUGGCGGUAGGCCUAACACAUGCAAGUCGAACGGCAGCACAGUAAGAGCUUGCUCUUACGGGUGGCGAGUGGCGGACGGGUGAGGAAUACAUCGGAAUCUACUUUUUCGUGGGGGAUAACGUAGGGAAACUUACGCUAAUACCGCAUACGACCUACGGGUGAAAGCAGGGGAUCUUCGGACCUUGCGCGAUUGAAUGAGCCGAUGUCGGAUUAGCUAGUUGGCGGGGUAAAGGCCCACCAAGGCGACGAUCCGUAGCUGGUCUGAGAGGAUGAUCAGCCACACUGGAACUGAGACACGGUCCAGACUCCUACGGGAGGCAUCAGUGGGGAAUAUUGGACAAUGGGCGCAAGCCUGAUCCAGCCAUACCGCGUGGGUGAAGAAGGCCUUCGGGUUGUAAAGCCCUUUUGUUGGGAAAGAAAAGCAGCGGGUUAAUACCCCGCUGUUCUGACGGUACCCAAAGAAUAAGCACCGGCUAACUUCGUG
rnacentral:rRNA from 1 species